GGGCCCGCACAAGCGGUGGAGCAUGUGGUUUAAUUCGAUGCAACGCGAAGAACCUUACCAGGGCUUGACAUACUGCAAAUCUUUUUUAAACGAAAGAGUGCCUUCGGGAAUGCAGAUACAGGUGGUGCAUGGCUGUCGUCAGCUCGUGUCGUGAGAUGUUGGGUUAAGUCCCGCAACGAGCGCAACCCUCGUUUUUAGUUACCAAUUUAUUGGAAUCUCUAGAAAGACUGCCGGUGACAAACCGGAGGAAGGUGAGGAUGACGUCAAGUCAGCAUGCCCCUUAUGUCCUGGGCCACACACGUGCUACAAUGGCAAGACAAAGAGUCGCAAACCUGCAAAGGCUAG
rnacentral:rRNA from 1 species